UAGGGAAUAUUGCAAAAUGGGCGAAAGCCCGAUGCAGCAACGCCGCGUGGGCGAUGAAGGCCUUCGGGUCGUAAAGCCCUUUUUGAGGGGAUGAGGAAGGACAGUACCCUCAGAAUAAGCCUCGGCUAACUACGUGCCAGCAGCCGCGGUAAAACGUAGGAGGCGAGCGUUAUCCGGAUUUACUGGGCGUAAAGCGCGUGCAGGCGGAUUGGAGAGUUGGAUGUGAAAGCUCCCGGCUUAACUGGGAGAGGUCGUUCAAUACUUCCAGUCUUGAGUGCAGUAGAGGGAAGUGGAAUUCCGGGUGUAGUGGUGAAAUGCGUAGAUAUCCGGAGGAACACCAGUGGCGAAAGCUGCUUCCUGGACUGUAACUGACGCUCAGACGCGAAAGCUAGGGUAGCAAACG
rnacentral:rRNA from 1 species